rnacentral:lncRNA from 1 species
AUCUGUCAGAGAAGGCAUUUCCUAAGUGGAAGCAAGCAGCAGCUUAGCCGGGAUUCUCUUCUGAGUGGGUGCCACCCCGGCUUCGGACCCUUGGGCGUAGAGUUGCGGAAGAACCUGGCCGCAGAAUGGUGGACCUCGGUGGUGGUGUUCAGGGAGCAGGUAUUCCCGGUGGACGCCCUCCACCACAAACCAGGCCCUUUGCUACCCGGGGACAGUGCCUUCAGGUGCCUUGGAACACUAUGUUAAUUGCCUGGAUCUGGUAAACAAGAGGCUACCUUAUGGCCUUGCUCAGAUUGGAGUGUGUUUUCAUCCUGUUUUUGACACUAAGCAGAUACGAAAUGGUGUUAAAAGUAUUGGUGAGAAGACUGAAGCUUCGUUAGUAUGGUUUACUCCUCCGAGAACUUCAAACCAGUGGCUUGAUUUCUGGUUACGUCAUCGACUCCAGUGGUGGAGAAAGUUUGCCAUGAGUCCAUCUAACUUCAGCAGCAGUGACUGUCAGGAUGAAGAAGGCCGGAAAGGAAACAAACUUUACUACAAUUUUCCCUGGGGAAAGGAGUUAAUAGAA